rnacentral:rRNA from 1 species
ACGCUCGACACCUACGGGGCAGCAGUGGGGAAUAUUGCACAAUGGGGGAAACCCUGAUGCAGCGACGCCGCGUGAGCGAAGAAGUAUUUCGGUAUGUAAAGCUCUAUCAGCAGGAAAGAAGAAAGACGGUAACUGACUAAGAAGCCCCGGCUAACUACGUGCUAGCAGCCGCGGUAAUCUGAGCGGGCUGGCAAGGC